UUAGAUUCUUAUCAAGCAUCUGUGAUCCAGUGAGCAUGGCCUCAGGAGGAGGAACACAGAGGAAGCCCUGGUACAUAUUUAAAGGAGGGCAUAUUACGGUGGGCACAGGAAUGUAACCAGUGAUGGCAAUGUCCACCCAUACUCAAAAGGACACAAAGGUGACAGGCUUGGAUGACCUCUGUUGAAUAACAGAAAGUACAUCAUGGGACGAAGACUAUACUUUCGAGGUUUUAUUUUGGAUGCCUUUUUUGACAUUGAUUUACCUUCAUUGUGUUGCUUAAACUCUGUUCUGUUGAGGCUAUCAAUCAUUAGCCGUCUUUAACAGGUCUGGGUUAAGGUCUGUGUUGUGCAUCCUUAGAAUGAGG